UCUCCGCCGCCGCCCGAAGGCUGGGGUCCUGUCCACCCCAGCUGCUAAGCGGCCGGCGCAGGCAGGCAGCGAGCGCGGCGGCGAGGACAGAGUGCGGCGGCGGACGCGGGGGCUCCCGGUCAGCCCCGGCAGGGGCCCCAGCCUCCUGCGCGGCCGCGGGGGAGCUUCGGCGGUUUCUCUCUGAGCAGCCGGGCUGUAACGGUAUACUGUCCCUGGGGCUGCAGAACUGAACCACUCGAUUCCCUCUGAACGCCACCAGGCAGCUGUCACUGUCACUCUGCCCGGGUUUAUUGGCCUGUAUGUGCAAGCGGGUCACAGGGAGGCGGCAGCUAACUUUCCCCGCUCAGCUUUUCUUGGGUAUCACAGCUGAGCAGGGUGGUUAGCAAGCCCGUCUCCCAAAAGAGGCAAAGUGGAAAAAUCAAGCAGGCCCGCCAGCGCCAGGCCGUGGGCACGGUCUCGGGAGCGCGCCCGGACGCCAGGGGGACGGCUGAACGCCAGCCACAGAGUUAGGCUUCCAAAGCUGAAGACCGUCAGACGGCAGCAAACGCACCCAUUUCAAACUUCGGUGAAUUGUGCAGUCAUGAAAAAGAAACAAGGAGCCUGGACACCUGGAAUCCUCCGGCGGAAGGUUCCCCACGGUACCGGUCAGAGGGGACUCGCGAGGAGGGAGUGAAGGAGCGGCUGGACCCCCGCUGCCCUUUCUCCCAGAGCAGCUCCGGGAUCAGAGUCUGCUGCCAGCUUCUGGGGUUAGCUCGGGGCACCUUAAAUGUCUGACCGACCCCUCGGUGUUUGCCUUAGUAGGAUGAGCACCGGGUGCCCGCUGUCCCGGAAGAAUGUCGCUGAGGACUCUACCCACACCCCGUGUGCAAGAGCUGGUCACUGGACUCCUGAUUCAACCUCCGUUGCAGCAACUCCUUGGACAAAGCUUUGCCAGACAAGCCAAGUCUAUUCCAUCUUUCGGAGGAAGCCUCAGCACCUUCUCGAGGAAGGUCCUGGUCCUGCUGUCCUGCAGGCUGCCUGGCACUGAGUGAGCGAGGCUCAGCCCCUCUCCAUCCUCGCCUGUAAGUGGGAUAAUUGGGCUUCCUCCUCACAAGCCUGUUGUGAGGAUCAAAUGGGGUGAUGUAAGGACAGCAAGUAGCACAGCACCUCCUGCAAAAGGGCCCCUAGUGCCAUUCAAGAGUCCACCGUAAUCCAUCCUCGGCAUCGUGGCCAGAAUGUUCUAGAAGUCUAUCCCUACCAACCCGCUGCAUAAGCUGUCCUUGCAGGCCAUGGUCACACACUUGCCCACAUCGCAGUCUCACAUCCCACCAUUUACCGUCUAACACACACACACACACACACACACACACACACACACACACACACUUGACCUUCCAGCAACACUGAGGUAGUAACCUCAGUGACUCCCUGCACACCCCUUGUGUUUUCAGGAUGCUGUCUCUUUGUUCAUACUGGUCCCUUGAUUGCACGCUAGCACCACUCAUGUUUCUCGCAAGAUACAGUGUCACCUCCUAAGAAAGCCUUCCCUGACCACCCCACCUCACUCUGGGGCUGCCUGGGCAUCCUUCCUUGCCUUCUGGAGCAUCCUGGACUCUCCUUUCUCACACACAGUGCUCAUCCCUCCUAACAGCAGCAGUUCUCAACUGCGGCAACUUUGCCCCUCAGGGGACACUUGGAAAUGUCUGGGGACAUGUUUGAUCAACUAAGGGGAUGGUGGUGCUGCUACGGGCAUCUAGCAGGUAGAGGCCAGGGAUGCUGCUAACAUUCUGCGGUGCACAGGACAGCCCCCCAACAGAGAGUUGUGGGUACCAAAUCUCAACAAUGCCAAGGUUGAGAAACCCUUACAUGAGGGUGAUCAGCUUUUGUAUCUCCCCCCUUAGACCAUAUACACUUGUUAAGGCUGGAGCUGAAUCUAUUCAUCACUGUUUGUUCCCCUUGAGCAGGAUAUCAGCCAAUAUGUGAUGCCCAUUCAAUGAGCCUAGCUCCUCCCCCACUCAAUCCUGUUAUUUGUGAAUCAAGCCCAUUCUGUUUUGGGAGGGUCACUGCCCCUCUACUACUCUGUGACCCACGUGACCAGAAACAUAAAUAAAACCUG
rnacentral:lncRNA from 1 species